UCAAUUCAAUUUUAUUUGUAGUAGCAAUUCAUAACCACAGUUGUCUCAAGACACUUUACAAAUAGAGUAGGUUUAGACUACACUCUAUAAUCUACAAGGACCCAACAGUUGAGUUAAAAUAUUUAUGAUGG